CAGCAGAUAACAACACAACUUUACCAGUCUCACCAGCAGAUAACAACACAACUUUACCAGUCUCACCAGCAGAUUACAGCACAACUUUAGCUACAGCAGGGACAACACCGACAGACACCAGGACAACUCUGGAUACCACUAGUGUCACAUCUUCACCAGCAGAUACCUAUAUAGUGGCCAUUGACCUGAAAGCUUAUGUAUUAUCCCAGAAUGGGGAAAAUGAAGAUGUGAUUUUUGAGGCUAUCUCCAAUUUUAUUUCCCAGACCCUUCUCCAGCUGAACUGUGAGGGCUGCUCAUCAACUAUCAGACACAUCAAACGCACCUGAGAAAGGCCAAUGUCUCAGCCAACGGGAGCACCAGUGUGGCUGUAGCUGUACUGGGACAACAGGCUGCACAACUCUCAGAAACAACACCAUUACUUUGAAUUUCGGCAUUCAUUCCAACAGCCCUAUCAGAGAUAUUAGGUCUACAUGAUUAAUACAUUUCUUAUGUACCCUUUUAACAUGUAAAAUGAUAUGCAGUACUAUAAAGCUCUAUAACUAACUAAAGUUCUCACACAGGUAUAUUUUACAACUUAAAACCAGGGUGUGAACUACGGGGGAGCUCGGCUCCCCUUAAUAAGACAUGGGCUCCCCUGAAAAUGUGAU